GGGCGUCACUGGUGAGUCUUGUGUGGACGAGGCGCGUUUUUGGCGUAUUGAGUUUUAAACCUGAUGCUUUUUGUUAUUUAUUAAUCAUGUGUUUCAUUGUCUAAUACGUUCUCCUAUUUAUUUGUAUUGUAGUCCUGUAAUAUUAUGUUGUCAUUUCAAUGUUAUAUUUAACAUUGCCAUUAAAGUGUGAGGUUUGGCAUGCCACAAAACCAGGUUCAACCCACCAUUUUUUCCUUUAAAAAUGUCCUGUACCAAGUCAGGAAUAUGGCCAUGGUUAUAUUAUAGUUCGUUUCUAUGUGUGUUACAAUUUAACGUUGCGUCGUUUGUUUUCUCUUAUUUUUGAGUGUAAAUUGACAUUGCGAUAAGACGUGUCACGGUACUUGUCUAUCCCAAAUUCAUGUAUUUGGUUUUGAUGUUAUAUUUGUUAUUCUCGUGGGAUUUUGUCUGAUGCUUGGUCCGUUUCUGUGUGUGUUACAUUGUAGUGUUGUGUCGUUGUUCUCCUCUUAUAUUUAUGCGUUUCCCUCAGUUUUAGUUUGUUACCCCGA
rnacentral:lncRNA from 1 species